rnacentral:rRNA from 1 species
AGAGUUUGAUCAUGGCUCAGGACGAACGCUGGCGGCGUGCUUAACACAUGCAAGUCGAGCGGAAAGGCCCUUUCGGGGGUACUCGAGCGGCGAACGGGUGAGUAACACGUGAGUAAUCUGCCCUGCACUUCGGGAUAACUGCCGGAAACGGUGGCUAAUACCGGAUAAGACUACGUCCCGCAUGGGGUGUGGUGGAAAGUUUUUCGGUGUGGGAUGUGCUCGCGGCCUAUCAGCUUGAUGGUGGGGUAGUGGCCUACCAUGGCUUUGACGGGUAGCCGGCCUGAGAGGGUGACCGGCCACACUGGGACUGAGACACGGCCCAGACUCCUACGGGAGGCAGCAGUGGGGAAUAUUGGACAAUGGGCGGAAGCCUGAUCCAGCAACGCCGCGUGAGGGAUGACGGCCUUCGGGUUGUAAACCUCUUUCACCGAUGACGAAGCGUGAGUGACGGUAAUCGGAGAAGAAGCACCGGCCAACUACGUGCCAGCAGCCGCGGUAAUACGUAGGGUGCGAGCGUUGUCCGGAAUUAUUGGGCGUAAAGGGCUCGUAGGCGGUUUGUCGCGUCGGGAGUGAAAACACCGGGCUUAACUCGGUGCUUGCUUCUGAUACGGGCAGACUAGAGGUAUGCAGGGGAGAACGGAAUUCCUGGUGUAGCGGUGAAAUGCGCAGAUAUCAGGAGGAACACCGGUGGCGAAGGCGGUUCUCUGGGCAUGUCCUGACGCUGAGGAGCGAAAGUGUGGGGAGCGAACAGGAUUAGAUACCCUAGUAGUCC